rnacentral:rRNA from 1 species
AGGACGAACGCUGGCGGCGUGCUUAACACAUGCAAGUCGAACGGUGAAGCCUUUCGGGGUGGAUCAGUGGCGAACGGGUGAGUAACACGUGAGUAAUCUGCCCUUGACUCUGGGAUAACUUCGGGAAACCGUGGCUAAUACCGGAUAUGACGCAUGGUCGCAUGGUCUGUGUGUGGAAAGAUUUAUUGGUCAGGGAUGAGCUCGCGGCCUAUCAGCUUGUUGGCGGGGUAAUGGCCUACCAAGGCGACGACGGGUA